AACGAACGCUGGCGGCAGGCUUAACACAUGCAAGUCGAGCGCCCCGCAAGGGGAGCGGCAGACGGGUGAGUAACGCGUGGGAAUCUACCUAGCUCUACGGAAUAGCUCCGGGAAACUGGAAUUAAUACCGUAUACGUCCUUCGGGAGAAAGAUUUAUCGGAGUUAGAUGAGCCCGCGUUGGAUUAGCUAGUUGGUGGGGUAAUGGCCUACCAAGGCGACGAUCCAUGGCUGGUCCGAGAGGAUGAUCAGCCACACUGGGACUGAGACACGGCCCAGACUCCUACGGGAGGCAGCAGUGGGGAAUAUUGGACAAUGGGCGAAAGCCUGAUCCAGCCAUGCCGCGUGAGUGAUGAAGGCCCUAGGGUUGUAAAGCUCUUUCAACGGUGAAGAUAAUGACGGUAACCGUAGAAGAAGCCCCGGCUAACUUCGUGCCAGCAGCCGCCGUAACAC
rnacentral:rRNA from 1 species